rnacentral:rRNA from 1 species
UACCUACUCUUGACAUCCAGAGAACUUAGCAGAGAUGCUUUGGUGCCUUCGGGAACUCUGAGACAGGUGCUGCAUGGCUGUCGUCAGCUCGUGUUGUGAAAUGUUGGGUUAAGUCCCGCAACGAGCGCAACCCUUAUCCUUUGUUGCCAGCGGUCCGGCCGGGAACUCAAAGGAGACUGCCAGUGAUAAACUGGAGGAAGGUGGGGAUGACGUCAAGUCAUCAUGGCCCUUACGAGUAGGGCUACACACGUGCUACAAUGGCGCAUACAAAGAGAAGCGACCUCGCGAGAGCAAGCGGACCUCAUAAAGUGCGUCGUAGUCCGGAUUGGAGUCUGCAACUCGACUAAUCUCUAGAG